rnacentral:rRNA from 1 species
UACGUAGGGUGCAAGCGUUGUCCGGAUUUAUUGGGCGUAAAGAGCUCGUAGGCGGUCUGUCGCGUCGGAUGUGAAAACCCAGGGCUCAACCCUGGGCUUGCAGUGGAUACGGGCAGACUAGAGGUAGGUAGGGGAGAAUGGAAUUCCUGGUGUAGCGGUGAAAUGCGCAGAUAUCAGGAGGAACACCGGUGGCGAAGGCGGUUCUCUGGGCCUGUACUGACGCUGAGGAGCGAAAGCGUGGGGAGCGAACAGG